rnacentral:lncRNA from 1 species
GUGGUGGUGUCUCUGCACCCCCGUGUCCUUGCGGUGCGGGGGGGACCCCGUUUCUCUGGGUCCAUCCAGGUCCGUGGGGUCCCUUAUCGGGGUGUCCAGGGGGGGUCCCCAGCGUGACCCCCCCGCCCCAAAGCCACGCUUCUCCUCCCGGCACCGUCCCACGCAGCGUCCCGCCGGGGGGGGACCCCCGUGUCCGUGCCGGGGGGGGGGUCCCCAUCUGUCCGUGUCCACCCAGCUCCGUUGGGGUCUCCGUUGGGGGUCUCCGUUGGGGGUCUCCGUUGGGGGGUCCUCUGAAGCCGCUGCUCCUCACCCAGGUUCCUCCGCCUCCUUCCACCGGGGUGUUCCCGGGGGGGUCCCCGUCGGGGCUCGGUCCGUUCCCCGCCCGGGGGUGGUGGUGGUUGUGGGGGGAGGGGGUGUCUCUAGAAGCCGAGGGCGGCCCCGGGGGGCAGGGGGCAGCCGGAGCCGGCGUGGUCGCGGACGGAGCCGCGGAGCCGGCGGACCUGGGCGCGGAGCCCGGCCGCGGUGGCCGCCAGCGCCGCGUUCUGCGCCCGGAGUCCCCGGACGCGCUGCUCCAACCGGGCGAUGCGCUCCAGCUUCCGCCGCCGGCACCGGCUGGCGGCCAACCGGUUCCUCAGCCGCCGCCGCUCCGCCUGAAGCCUCUCCGGGGAGUCCGGACCCGGCUCCGCCGCCUCCGUCUCCGGGGCCGCUCCGGGGACCCCCGGGAAGGGGCCGCCCCCUCCCGCCGCCGCCGCCGCCGUCAGCCCCGGCGGCUCCGGUAGCGCCACGUUGGGAGGCCCCGGUUGGUGCAGCUCGUCCAGCGCCUGCGCGAAGCUACCGGGAUAACUGUCGCGGUCCCCCGGUCCGGGAUAGAAGAAGCUGCCGGUACCGGAGCCGCCGCUGAAGAAGCCGCCGUCGGGGCAAGGCGCCGGCUUAAGUCCGCGAUAGGGCUCCGGGGGGGGCCCCGGGGCCAGCGCUCCCGGCAGCGCCCCGUAGUCGGUGUCGGGCCGGCAGAAGCCGCCCGGGAAGGGCGCGGGACGGUAGAAAGGCGGCUCCAUCCGCGCACACAUGCGGCCGCCACCGGGGGUGGAAGAGGAGGAGACCGAACACCGUGAGCGGAAGGCGACGGCGGGGAUCGAACCCGCGGCCCGGCGCCCCCCGCCCGCCUUAUACCCGCCCGCGGCGGAAGCGCGGCCCCAUUGGCUGAGGCGCCCGAGGGACACGCCCCCUCUGCGCCGGGACACGCCCCCCCGCCGUGGGACACGCC